GUCUCCCACCAUGAGAGUGGGUAAGGCUCCCGGUAGACGACCGGGUUGAUAGGCCGGAGGUGGAAGCACGGUAACGUGUGGAGCUGACCGGUACUAAUAGGCCGAGGACUUGACCACAA
rnacentral:rRNA from 1 species